GGGCGGAUACUACAAUGCCGGCGACCACGUCAAGUUCGGGCUGCCGAUGGCCUUCACGGUGACCAUACUGUCGUGGAGCCUGCUUGAGUACGGCGGUGACGUGGCGGCCAUCGGCGAGGUCGCGCACACCCUCGAGUCCAUCAAGUGGGGCACCGACUACUUCAUCAAGGCGAAGACCAAACCCGACGAGCUCUGGGCCGAGGAAAGUGGUGAGAAGAUGUCGAGGAUUCCUACUUGGGACAUUUAAAUCAACACAACA